rnacentral:rRNA from 1 species
GUUUGAUCCUGGCUCAGGACGAACGCUGGCGGCGUGCUUAACACAUGCAAGUCAAGGAGAACGGAUUCUUCGGGAUACUAGUAAACUGGCGAACGGGUGAGUAACGCGUAGGUAAUUUACCCUGGAGAUUGGGAUAACCCCGGGAAACCGGAGCUAAUACUGAAUAAUGCAGCGGAUCCUUAGGGAUAUGUUGUUAAAGCGGGCUUUUGCUCGCACUUUAGGAUAAGCCUGCGCCCGAUUAGCUUGUUGGUGGGGUAAUGGCCUAACAAGGCGAUGAUCGGUAGCUGGUCUGAGAGGAUGAUCAGCCUCCCUGGGAUUGAGAUACGGCCCAGACUCCUACGGGAGGCAGCAGUGGGGAAUUUUGCGCAAUGGGCGAAAGCCUGACGCAGCAACGCCGCGUGAUCGAUGAAGCUUUUCGGAGUGUAAAGAUCUGUCGUGAGGGAAGAAUAACUUGGAUGCAAAUAGUUUUCAAGUCUGACGGUACCUUACAAGAAAGCACCGGCUAACUUCGUGCCAGCAGCCGCGGUAAUACGAGGGGUGCUAGCGUUGUCCGGAAUCAUUGGGCGUAAAGGGUCCGUAGGUGUCUUUGCAAGUCGUUUGUUACAUUCACCGGCUUAACCGGUGGUCUGCAAUCGAAACUGCAAGGAUAGAGUUCGAGAGAGGAAAGUGGAAUUCCUGGUGUAGCGGUGACAUGCGUAGAUAUCAGGAGGAACACCAAUGGCGAAGGCAGCUUUCUGGCUCGAUACUGACACUGAGGGACGAAAGCGUGGGUAGCGAACAGGAUUAGAUACCCUGGUAGUCCACGCCGUAAACGAUGAGUACUUGAUGUCGGAGGAUUCGACCCUUUCGGCGCCGGAGUUAACGCGUUAAGUGCUCCGCCUGGGGACUACGACCGCAAGGUUGAAACUCAAAGGAAUUGACGGGGACCCGCACAAGUAGUGGAGCAUGUGGUUUAAUUCGAAGAUACGCGCAGAACCUUACCAACACUUGACAUGUUUGUCGCGACUCUAAGAGAUUAGGGUCUUCGGUUCGGCCGGACAAAACACAGGUGCUGCAUGGCUGUCGUCAGCUCGUGUCGUGAGAUGUUGGGUUAAGUCCCGCAACGAGCGCAACCCUUACUUUUAGUUGCUACCAUUCAGUUGGGCACUCUAAAAGAACUGCCAGUGAUAAGCUGGAGGAAGGUGGGGAUGACGUCAAGUCCUCAUGGCCCUUACGUGUUGGGCUACACACGUGCUACAAUGGUAUUUACAGUGGGAUGCAAAGAGGCGACUCUAAGCAAAUCCCAAAAAGGUACCUCAGUUCGGAUUGCACUCUGCAACUCGAGUGCAUGAAGCUGGAAUUACUAGUAAUCGUGGAUCAGCGCGCCACGGUGAAUACGUUCCCGGGUCUUGUACACACCGCCCGUCACACCAUGGAAGUUGGUUACACCUUAAGGCAAAGUGUAAAAACUUUGACUACGGUACGAUCAGCGACUGGGGUGAAGUCGUAACAAGGUAGCC